rnacentral:tRNA from 1 species
UCUCUAGUAGUUUAAGAAGAACGUGAGAUUGCAAAUCUUGAGGUAAAUGGUUUUCUGGAGAU